rnacentral:rRNA from 1 species
UACGUAGGUGGCAAGCGUUGUCCGGAAUUAUUGGGCGUAAAGCGCGCGCAGGCGGUCCUUUAAGUCUGAUGUGAAAGCCGACGGCUCAACCGUGGAGGGGCAUUGGAAACUGGGGGACUUGAGUACAGAAGAGAAGAGUGGAAUUCCACGUGUAGCGGUGAAAUGCGUAGAUAUGUGGAGGAACACCAGUGGCGAAGGCGACUCUUUGGUCUGUAACUGACGCUGAGGCGCGAAAGCGUGGGGAGCAAACAGG